GAUGAAGAACGCAGCGAAAUGCGAUAAGUAGUGUGAGUUGCAGAAUUCAGUGAAUCAUCGAAUCUUUGAACGCACAUUGCGCCCUUUGGUAUUCCAAAGGGCAUGCCUGUUCGAGCGUCAUUUGUACCCUCAAGCUUUGCUUGGUGUUGGGCGUCUUGUCUCUAGCUUUGCUGGAGACUCGCCUUAAAGUAAUUGGCAGCCGGCCUACUGGUUUCGGAGCGCAGCACAAGUCGCACUCUCUAUCAGCAAAGGUCUAGCAUCCAUUAAGCCUUUUUUUCAACUUUUGACCUCGGAUCAGGUAGGGAUACCCGCUGAACUUAAGCAUAUCAAUAAGCGGAGGA
rnacentral:misc_RNA from 1 species